AUGUAAUCUUGAAUUUGUGCAUUUCUAAAUCUUAUUAGGAUUUUAUAUUGUUAAUGUUAUCUAUUUUUUUUGGUUUAACAUGGACUGGAUCUGAUUCACAUCGUUAUCUUAUUGGUUCGGGAAAAUUGUAUCAAAAAUGAAGUCAACCCUGAAUUUGGACUUAUAAUUAUCACAUCAAUUGUAAUCAAUCCUGAUCAGUGUCGAGUCACGAAUAAUGUAAAAGUAGAGUUUCCUUUUUAUCGAGAUUCUUAAUUAUCUUCAUCAUCAUCAACCAAAGUAAUGACAACAACAAUAAAACGGGUCUUCUAAAUAUCCUCUAAUCAUAGUCAUGAAAAGGCUUAUUAUUAAAAAAUGAUUCAAGCAAAAAGUGAAAAAUACUACUCAUUUUAUUUUUCAUGAAUAUAUUCAGUUAAUUGUUGAAGUUUCAUUGAACUGCUUUCUCCAUUGAUAUGGUCAAUUAGUUUUUGAUAUUUUUUCAGCUUUUGUGAGUUGAAAACACCAUGACUGGAGCUAAAAAAUUUCAAAUUCCCGACGCCAUAUUUCAAUUUUUCAAGCAGAUUGUUUGGACGAUUCUCGAUCUACAUAAAUCUUUGCCAGAAAAUCAAUGAACUUGAAUAACCAAGACCAGAAACUUGACUGUUAUCAACCUGAGAUCACUUUCGAAUCCAUUCCAGAUUGAUCAAUUUAAAAAGAUGUUUCUUCUUUUUUAUUCAAUUUAAAGCCUCAUUUUUAAUAGUCUGAUACGAUUGACGGUGAUUACUGUGAUUAUCGUGAUAAAAUCCUUAAGCGAUUGAAUGAGUUCUUCCUGCUGGAAAUGAAACUCGCAGUUCCGCAACAAUGAAAUCAAGAUGAAAAAUCAAUCGCUAUAGAUGAAACUAUUACAGUAGUAUAAUGCAGUAAACAAGCUUGCCAUUGUUUUCAAAUAACAGUUUCACUAAUUUUUGCAUUUUGUUAAUGUUGCGAGUCAACAAUAUCUAUUUAUAAAUUGAAAGAAACAAUUUAAAUAAUGGUUAAUAAUAAUGCUAAUGAAUGCAUUAACUGGAAUAAAUUGCAAAGACAAUAUGCUAUUAAGAUGAAACACAAUGUAAAACACGAUUGGGAAUCAACUUAUUCUUCCGUUCACACAACAAUCGGAGUUAUGAUGAAUAUUGACUUGAUUCAAUUUUGUUGAACGUUAUUCAAAAUUCAGACAAGAUUUGUAUCACCUAUUAUAGCAAUUAUGAGAUUACAUUCUGAUAUCUAGAAUUGUGAGAGAGUUUCAAUGAUGCAAAGAAAAUAUAUUACACUGAUUAAAACUUGCUUCAGCUGUUUAUCACAUUCAUUUUAUUUUUGGCUUAACACCUUUUAACUGACUUUAGUAUAUUACAUCAAAAUGAAAUCCAUAUAACAUAAAUAAAUAGAAAUAUUUGGUUGUCGUUUCAUUGGGUCAAAAAUAGAGAGAUUUCAAUAUCAAAUUGGUAGGCAAAUUGGUGCCAAGAUUAACAGCUCCAGAUGAAAAGUAUGGUUUAAUUCGAGUAUAAAAGUUCCUCCUGGAAUUUUUAAGGAUCAAUUGGCUUGACAAGUAAUUUAAAGAAUCAUUGUGACACCAUGAGAUGAGUAAGAAA